AAAGACAUUUUGUCACAAGCUGCAAUUUCUACUAAACAGGAUGGAGAAUAUUACCAAUUACCAGGAUGCAUUUCCAGAGGUUGAGCUAGAUUUUGAAGAUCUACAGUUCGAUGACAGUACUAAAUCUCAAACACAACUGGCCAUGGAUGAUGAUCUGAAAGACAUCGGAAAUCUCUGGGCAACAUCUGUCCAAGUUUCAAACAAGACAUUUACAGAUGUUUAUAAACAGGAAGAAAAUGCAGACAGUUCUGAUAACAGUGAAGAGAGUGCAUUGCAUAAUCUGCCUGAUGUAAAAACAGGAUCUACAGUUUACCUGCCUUCUGGAGUAUCUUAUGAACAGGUUUUAAAAAAGACAAUAAUGGAAACACAACAACUGAGCCAGACAUGCGAAGAGUACACUGUAGAGGAAGAAAACAGGAAAGGUGACUCAGAAACAGGUGUUCUUGCCGAUGUCAACACACAGAGAGAAGAAAGGUUCAGAGAGGAGGAAACCAUUAAACUUCAGUUUGAAUCUCCUGAGGGUCUGGACAUUUCUAGUGCAGAAUAUCCGCCAUUCAUGGAACAAACAUCACAUCCAGUGUCUAGUGGAACUCGGAUGAUACAGAAGAGAUCAUCAGUGUCAGAUGAGUCAGUCAGCUGCAGUGCAGAAGAUCAAACAUCCCAUUGUAAAUCUGAUGGUAACAAGGAUGAACUUUUUGUUGCAGGGUGCCAUGUCAGAUAUGAUUUGAGGGAGUUUACAGAGGAAGACCAAGAACAGGUAGAGGAAAGUCUUGCAGAAUACCCCUCAGAUUUAUCCCAAAGUGAAUCUGAGACAUGUGCUGAAAGUGGAAGGAACAAGCUGGUCAUCCCCUUAGAUAGCAGUUUUUGCUACGAUCACUCUGCACAUGAAAUAAAAGAUUCAUCUGGGGCAGAAGGAAACUUUCAAGAGCGAGAGAGAAAAACAGAUUGUUCUGCCACAGACAGUAAUUCUAAGAUUAAUAAACUAGGGAUUGAUUAUAUAUCAGAUAUAGCAGAUAUAAAUGUGUCAUUACAGACUGUGAAUGCCAAUGAAGAUGACCUCCAAGGGAUUCUAACAAAGGAUUAUAUCACAGUGGAAGACACCAAGAAUAAAGAGGACUCUGGAGAUGAAAGAGAUGUUAAUGACCAACCAGGUUAUGACAGUGACAUCAGUAAUGAUGACAACAGCACAAGUCAAGAAGAAACUAGUUUUCUCCCAUCUGAGAAGGACAAAUGGAAAAAUGUUACACAGCAUAACUUCACAGACGACACGGUGAGGGCUGAUAGUAUCAAUUACAAAGAGACAGAUAAGGAUGGUACAAAUGAUAGCAAUCUGGAGAAGUCUAUCCAUAGUGCAGAACAUUUGACUUUCAAUGUAUCAAUCAGUGAGGGCAAGGAGACAACCUCCACAAGCAAAACCUCUUUAUCAUAUGGCGAAUACUGUCACAAGGAAUCCAAUGAACAAUCCACAGAGUUGCACUCCAAACUUGAAAUAGUCCAGCUGGGCUCAGCCAUUAAAGAACAAGUCCAGUCACCUUCAGAGGUUACAGACAGCAUAAGAGAUACCAACACUUUAAUACCUGAAGCAUUUUGGUCCUCAGUACUGAUGGAUGAUGACAGCCUAUGCUUAGAUGACUAUAACUGGAACUUGACUGAAGGGGAGCUAAGUGAAGCAGAAAAACAGGAAGCCAUAGAAGAAACCCUAGGGAAGAUGGACCACAGUGAAGAUGGAGAAGAGAAUGAGAGUGACUGGGAGAAGAAGACCAGAAUUGAGGCAUUUAACCAAUUUUAUGGUGACCAGACUGAGACAUGGGGUGAAAUAGGCAGGAAUCAUAGAGUUACCUUUUGCUUGGAUCAUGAACCUUCUGAAUAUGAGGAGGACUCUGAAAGGUAAACAACUUCAUUAAUCUCAAACCACCUGUUAUUCAGCUCAUGUGUGGUUAUGCAUAUCUGGCCCAUUCUAUAAACCCAUAAUAUAAGCAUACUCAUCCAAAAGCACUGAAGAGGAACAGGACAAAGAGCCCCACGCAGCUGUUACUACGGUGAAACCUGAGGUGAGACCACCAUCACUAGUCUAAGAGCACCGGUGAAUGCCUGUGACAUGGAGGCAGCUUUAUGGUACUAUGUGUCUUGUAGUACCACAGUGAGUCAGAUGAGCCAGAAGAGAAGCUUUUCCAUCCGGAGAAGCCAAAGACACGACCAAAGGAGCAGCAACAUGUGAGCCCAGCACUGAAGACACACCCUCAAAGAAACAGGGUAAGUCAUUGUGGUCAAAAAUAAAUAAAUCUUGUAGUUGUCGUCCUUACAGUCUCACUAUGUGGAAACAAAAGUGAAAAGGAUUUUUAAUUAUCUUUUUAUGCCUAGUCAGUUUACUUAAAGCAUUGGAGAAUACCCAUAAAUGCAUUUGUUACAAUUUCAUACAUACUGACAAGAGGAAAUGCAGGAGAUGCAGCAGGAACGUCAGUGUCCAAUUUCAAACGGUUUGAAUUUCAGCCAAUUACCUGUAGGGAUUUUUUCCCACUGUUAACUAGACUAACUGCACUACCCAGUGUUUAAUUGCAUCUGAAAUCAUUUGAUUGUUAAUUAUCUCAUCAAAAUCUUUCUUUGUCUGUGUCCUUCCACUGUAGUGUCUUGCUGUGCUGAAAUCAGCUUUAGCACUGGGCCUGAUGACAGCAGUAGGUGUGCUGUCUUUCUGGUGGGCAACAGACAGUCUGGACCAGACACACUGAAUUCAAACCUUAUUGUUGAUUAUUAAUUAAAAAUAACUCAAUGUAGGUUGGAAGAAUCAAUCUAAUAAAAAAAGCCCAGAUAUUCUACACUGUUGCGACAUAGGUAUAAAUAUAGAAAAGGGGGCAUGGAUUACUCUUUGAAUUUUUAGUUAAAAAAAGAAAACCAUUGAUGUCAUAGUGGUUUGUUGAUCCUGGUGAAAAAUAACAUCCAGUGAGUCAGCUGUGAUUGGACCAACUUUAUUUCCUUACAGAUUACAAUGUUUCAACAUGCUCCAGGGCUGUGUUUUUAAAUGGUGAAAAAGACAUUUGUCUCACCAUAAUGUAAUUACUCUGUAUACUUCAACAUUAAUGUUGGCCUACAGGAAAACAAUCUAUUUCAGUGCACAGAUGUUUUUAUCACUGUUUUUCUUCUUUAUAGGCACAUAAUCUAUUGUUACCAUUAUCAAUUAAAACAAAUUCCUCUAAUCAUGCCAUGCAGUUAGUGUGAAUAGUGGGACUGAAUAUUUCCACCUUUUUUAUAUUAAAGCAUUGACUAUGAUUUCUUGGUGCAAGAUACCAUUUCUGUGAAACUUCAUGACCCUUUGCCAUCAUGCUCUACUGUAAAUUCAGCUCAAUCCCAUAACAUUUCCUGUGCCUUCUUACAGUGAAGAACAAUUAGGAUUAAACAAGUAAUGAUGCUUUUUUUUGGUUUCUUUUUCUGUUUAACACAAGCUACAUUUCUAGCAAGCAACGGCCUGCAUGAUCACUCUUUCUCAGUGGUUCAGUGUGUCUACAGCAUCAGCAACAAUAAACACAGCAAGAUUAGUCCCAUUUUGAGGAAUUUACAACAAAAGCUCUGAUAUUCAAUCUGCCAGUUUAGUGACUAUGGAUGUUUAAUGACUCAGAUGUUAAUAAAAAUCACUGAAUUGAUGUGAAAUGAAAC
ensembl:lncRNA